rnacentral:rRNA from 1 species
UACCUGCAGCUCAAGUGGUGACCACUAUUAUUGGGCCUAAAACGUUCGUAGCCGGUUUAUUAAAUGCUUGGGUAAAUCGUGUAGCUUAACUAUACGAAUUCCGGGUAGACUGAUAGACUUGAGACCGGGAGAAGCUAGAGGUACUCCUGGGGUAGAGGUGAAAUUCUGUAAUCCUGGGGGGACCACCAGUGGCGAAGGCGUCUAGCUAGAACGGGUCUGACGGUGAGGAACGAAGCCCUGGAGCGCAAACCGGAUUGGAUACCCGGGUAGUCCAGGGUGUAAACGCUGCUUGCUUGAUGUUAGUUGGGCUCCGAGCCCAAUUAGUGUCGGAGAGAAGUUGUUAAGCAAGCUGCCUGGGAAGUACGAUCGCAAGAUUAGAAACUUAAAGGAAUUGGGCGGGGGAGCACAGCAACGGGUGGAGCGUGUCGGUUU